GUAGGUGGCAAGCGUUGUCCGGGAAUUAUUGGGGCGUAAAGCGCGCGCAGGCGGGUUCUUUAAGUCUGAUGUGAAAGCCCACGGGCUCAACCGUGGGAGGGUCAUUGGAAACUGGAGAACUCGAGUACAGAAGAGGAAAGCGGAAUUCCACGUGUAGCAGUGAAAUGCGUAGAGAUGUGGAGGAACACCAGUGGCGAAGGCGGCUUUCUGGUCUGUAACUGACGCUGAGGCGCGAAAGCGUGGGGAGCAAACAGGAUUAGAUACCCUGGUAGUCCACGCCGUAAACGAUGAGUGCUAAGUGUUAGGGGGUUUCCGCCCCUUAGUGCUGCAGCUAACGCAUUAAGCACUCCGCCUGGGGAGUACGGCCGCAAAGGCUGA
rnacentral:rRNA from 1 species